rnacentral:rRNA from 1 species
AAUGGGCGAAAGCCUGACGCAGCGACGCCGCGUGAGGGAUGAAGGUUCUCGGAUCGUAAACCUCUGUCAGGGGGGAAGAAACCCCCUCGUGUGAAUAAUGCGAGGGCUUGACGGUACCCCCAAAGGAAGCACCGGCUAACUCCGUGCCAGCAGCCGCGGUAAUACGGAGGGUGCAUGCGUUAAUCGGAAUCACUGGGCGUAAAGCGCACGUAGGCGGCUUGGUAAGUCAGGGGUGAAAUCCCACAGCCCAACUGUGGAACUGCCUUUGAUACUGCCAGGCUUGAGUACCGGAGAGGGUGGCGGAAUUCCAGGUGUAGGAGUGAAAUCCGUAGAUAUUAGGAGGAACACCGGUGGCGAAGGCGGCUACCUGGACCGAUAUUGACGCUGAGUCGCGAAAGCGUGGGGAGCAAA